UACGUAGGGUCCGAGCGUUGUCCGGAAUUACUGGGCGUAAAGGGCGCGUAGGCGGCCAUCUAAGUCGGGACGUGAAAUCCCUCGGCUUAACCGAGGAACUGCGUCCGAUACUGGAAGGCUUGAAUCCGGGAGAGGGAUGCGGAAAUUCCAGGUGUAGCGGUGAAAUGCGCAGAUAUCAGGAGGAACACCGGUGGCGAAGGCGGGUCUCUGGGCCGAUACUGACGUGGAGGAGCGAAAGCGUGGGGAGCGAACGG
rnacentral:rRNA from 1 species